GCAUCUCCCCUCUACCACUCACAUAUACUAAACUUGGAACGAUACAGAGAAGAUUAGCGUGACCCCUGCACAACGAUGACACGCAACUUCAUGAACUGUUCCAUUAAAAA